CUCCCUAGGUGGGUUCCUGAGCCCACUCAAGGGAAGCUCCUGGGCCACUGGGCCUAACCGCACCUACAUGCUUCCUGGUUCUUCCAGCUCGGUACCUUAUCCAACUUCGUGUUGGAGGAUGAGGAGUAGCCCAGUGCUCGGCUUACAAGAUGUGCUGCUGUGCCCAGCUUCCUUACCCAGGUCUUCACACUCUCAAGGCAAACACUUUAUUGACUGAGCCGGCUUCCUAUCUCAGAGGGGGUAACUUUAACUUUGUCUUGUGAGUAAUGUUCUGUGACCCAGAGUACGAGGCCAUCAAAACUGCAGAGACUGGAGCUCCACUCCAACAACUCUGGAGAAAGAAGAGCAUCCUGAAACCCCAAACACCGCUUACUCACUUCUCAGUGGCUAAGAAUUCUAUACUUGAACAGACUACUGCAGCUUACUCGUUUUUAACAGUCCUUUGUGUGAGCUCACCAACAAGGAACAAAUGCAAGUUGCUCUUCUCAGCACAGACCAGUGUAGCACGUUUACUCUGAAGGGGAAACCCCUUGGAAUGAUACACAAGGCCUUGAUACUCUCCUCUUUCAACGGAAGCAGCUCCAUAUUUCCCGGGCAGCUCAGAUCAGCAAUAUGCAACCUGCAGCUCCCUGACCACUGACUAUACAGGAUCAAUUCUCAGAUACGUGUGCUCAUCAAAGCUUACCAGCUGGACCACCUUAACAGAAGGUCAGCCAUAGCAACAGAUUGUACAUCCUAGGUAGCACAUUUGACUCAAAGUGAAAGGUUGGUGGGCAUAACAUGAGAACAUACAGAAAAAAUACUGCAGUUUCACGCGUGACAGGUUGACAGUUUUCAUGUUAUUUUGUGUUGGGCAGAAUUCUCA